UACGGAGGGGGCUAGCGUUGUUCGGAAUUACUGGGCGUAAAGGGCGCGCAGGCGGCUGCUCAAGUCAGGCGUGAAAGGCCUGGGCUCAACCCGGGAAUUGCGCUUGAGACUGGGCUGGCUUGAGUGCGGGAGAGGAUGGUGGAAUUCCCAGUGUAGAGGUGAAAUUCGUAGAUAUUGGGAAGAACACCGGUGGCGAAGGCGGCCAUCUGGACCGCAACUGACGCUGAGGCGCGAAAGCUAGGGGAGCAAACGGG
rnacentral:rRNA from 1 species